rnacentral:rRNA from 1 species
CCUACGGGGGGCUGCAGUGGGGAAUAUUGGACAAUGGGGGAAACCCUGAUCCAGCAAUGCCGCGUGUGUGAAGAAGGCCUGCGGGUUGUAAAGCACUUUCGGUUGGGAAGAAAAGUUUGGCGCCAAUACCGCCGAACCUUGACGUUACUGACAGAAGAAGCACCGACUAACUCUGUGCCAGCAGCCGCGGUAAUACAGAGGAUGCAAGCGUUGUACGGAGUCACUGGGCGUACAGGGAAGUCGGGUGUGAAAUCCCCGGGCUUAACCUGGGAACUGCAUUCGAUACUACAUGGCUAGAGUAUGGUAGAGGGAAGUGGAAUUUCCGGUGUAGCGGUGAAAUGCGUAGAUAUCGGAAGGAACACCAAUGGCGAAGGCAGCUUCCUGGACUAAUACUGACACUGAGGCACGAAAGCGUGGGUAGCAAACAGGAUUAGAUACCCCAGUAGUC